UUAUAAUCCAACUCUGUGUUCUGUGAGUCUAUAGGUGGUGUCAUGUGUAUUAAGGAUACUGAUAAAUACAACUAAAUUAUAAAUAACAUAAUUUUUUAUUAUUCUUGUAAUAUUUUUAUUUGACAAAAUGAUACUAUACCCAAAUAAACGAUUCUAUAACAAAAAAAAUUAAUGGUUGUUAUUAAAAUAAUUUACUAAUUUGAAGUGAUGACAUUGAAGAAGAUCACCAAAAUGACAACAAAAUUACAAAUAUCCUCAGAAUUAAACGACAGCAUCAGUAAUGUUUUAGGGAAAAAUGUGAAAAUACUUUAUAAAUCUUUGAUUCGCAUGGAAUCUCGAGGAGACAAAGUUGAUAACAGAGUUUUGGUGGUCACAUCAUAUAGAGUUUUUAUAACUACAACAAAAGUUCCAACUAGAAUUGACAAUGGAUUUCACUUGAUGGAAAUAGAGGCCUUGGAGAGCAAAAAGGCAAAUCACUUAUCAAUAACGCUUAUUCAUGAGCAUAAGCCUGUAUCUAUUCUUAUUGGUGAGGAAGGCUCGCCCGAUGGUGUUAUAAAUGCAAUACACGCACUCACGGCGGCGUUUGACGACUUAUUUCCAAAUGUGGCAAUGGAAGACAUUAUAUCCAAGGUUAAUUUGCCAUUUCCGUUGCAACCGGUGAGUGGUACUCGGAAACAUUCGACUUGUGGUGACUUUUCUAAUCAAUAUGCAGCCAUGUGUGACCUAUGCCAGACACCUUUUAGAGCCGAAGUCGCAUGGGAUAUAGAUACGAUAUAUUUGGCACACGACAUACGAUUGUUACAUCUGAAAGAUUUCGAUCAUUUGGAUCAAAGAGAUUUAAUACCACUACUAAUAGCGUUGCAACACAACACAUGGUUUACUGGUGUGUGUGGGGAUGGUGUAAGGGUGGGGAGCGAGACGUGGGAGGCCUUAUCCCGUGUCCUGAGAUGUGCAGCGCCCCCACCACAGCAGCUUAGCUGGAGGGGCGCCACGCUAAGGCACGAUCAUGCAGCACGGCUGGGACACGCCCUAGCGAGAGCUAAGACGCCCCCCGCUAUGCAUACGAUUGACCUGUCGCAGAAUCAUAUAGAAGAUAAAGGUGCAAUAAGUGUUUUAACAGGACUAGCGAACAAUCCAGAUGGGAUACGUCACAUAGCAUUAUCCCAAUGCGGUGUCACGGGCAAGAGCGUUGCCCAUCUUGCUCAACUGCUCAAUGACAACCCUUGCCAUCUUAAUACGCUGUCGCAUCUUGAUCUCUCCCAUAACAACCUUAAGGAUGAUGUGCAUCAUCUCUACAACUUCUUGGCUCAACCAAACGUAUUGACACAUUUGAACUUAGUCAAUACGGAAACCACUCUAGAAAAUAUGUGGGGUGCUCUAUUGCGCGGUUGCGCGGCGAGGCUUUCAUCCUUGUACGUAGGGCGAAAUCCCUGGGCGGCGGGGCGAAGGCCCAGAGACCCGCCGCCUUCCUUUAGACAAUUCUUCACCGCUUGUCUCGCUUUGACGGAUCUCGACUUUUCAUAUUGCAAAAUGCCUCCCGAUGCUUUGAAGAGCCUCUUAUUAGGCCUCGCAUGCAACGAAAGCGCAGCGGGCGUAAAACUAAAUGUGUCUGGCGCACUCGCGUCGUCACAAGCCGCGCACGUACUUGAGUCGUGUAUACACGGCGUACGGUGUCUUCGUUCGCUUGACCUGUCUGAUAAUAGUAUGGAGUUUGAACUAUCAGGCAUAGUGAGAGCUAUUGGCAAAAAUCAUUCCAUAACACAUUUAUCAUUAAGUAAGCUUACGGGAAAACGGUCUUACGCGCCACCUCUAAUACAGGCUUUAGUACACGUUCUACAGGAACCGGACACAGCUUUAACAUCCUUAGAUCUCAGUGAUUGUAAACUUAAGGGGGAUUUGUAUGGACUUCUGAAUGCUUUGGGUGGGGCCAGACGACUUCGUACGUUAGACGUUUGUGGGAACUUAGCUGGCGACGCGGGAGCUAGGCUAUUGGCCAAAGCUCUGCAGUGCAAUUGUACGCUCCACACGCUGUAUAUAGAUAGAAACGCGUUUAGUUUACAGGGAUUAACGGAUAUAGCAACAGCGUUACGUCGUUCUGUGAGCGUUCGUCGCGUUGAGUUUCCCGCGAGUGACGCAGCGGCCGGCGGACGUGGCGCUAGUGAGCGCGUCGCCGCUUUAUGGAGGGAUUUGCACGAACGGCUCUCAAGCAACACGACAGCCUCUCAAACACACCGUUUACGCGCGUUAGCCUUAGAGCGCGCGUGGUGCGGGGGGGAAGCGGCAGCUGCUUUGGCGGCGGCUGCGGCGGGCGCUUUGCCCCCCGCCCCCCUUCCCCAGGCCGUGGAGAGGGCGGCUGCGGCUGCUCAUCAUUUGCUGCAUCAGUAUCUUCAGCGUUGCGGCGAAGUGUUCGCGGCAAUGGGUGGAUCGGGUUGUGCGAGCGAGCUCGUGUCACUACAGGCUGUAAGAGAUGCGAUCGCUCCGUCUUCUAAUACCCUACAGGAUUUGCUCAAUGAGGCAGUGGAGAACCUAGCCUUAGCUGCGUGCGAGAGCGUGGAAAGUGCCGACAGCGAACACGCGCACGCUGACCCCGACAUACCGGACUUACUCACGCCUAUUUCGCAUUCUGGGAAACUGGAUUAUUUGAACUUGGCCACACCCCUCGGAUGUCGUCGGCGAGAGCGCGGUGGUCGGCGCGUGCGUCCCAAGUCCGUGGCGGAACAACAGUGCAGUAGCAAUGAGAUGCUAUCUCUGCCACCCUUGCACGCUGAAGCAGCCGAUGCACUCGCCGAUCUACCUGCGCAUACGCUGAGGCAUCUUGUAAAAGGUAUCGGACGACCAAGACGAGUUAAAACCAGAGCACCAACACGACCAAUAACAGACCAAUCACAAGAUAUUGAUGAAGGACUAGAGGAAUUCUGGCGUACAUGCCGUACGCCGCCCGGUAGUGAGGACGUAUCAUCGAUGUCUGCCCGUACGGCGCUGACGUCACGCUCUCUACACUCGUUGUCUUCGCUUGCCUCUGCCUCGCCCGCCUCGCUUGCCUCGCCUUCCGCCCACAGGCACUCGCCUACGCUCCGGGAUGAUACUAUGUACAGUGGAACGUCUGGUGAAAGCACACCUGUAUUACUAGAAUGCGAGGUAUCACGCUGUAAAUCAUCAGAUAACGUCGGAAUUAAGCCGAGUGCGUCCACGCCGCCGCCGUCGAGAUCCUCUGAUGACGUCAACGCUAUGGGCAACGGGUGCGCCCGCGCAACUGGCAAAGCGCGGCCUUGGUCCGUGGCAGGCGUCAACGCGGACAACGCCGCCUGCACCACAGAGGGCGUGGAGGCGUGCGUCGGCGGGAGCAUCGUGGGCAUCACGCCGGGCGCCGCACUAACCAGUAACCAACUUUCUGACGCUAUCCUAUACUGAGCUAUCGCUAGCUAGCAACACUAGGUUCAAUGCUGCGAGAUCAUCCACUCACACCGGAAGGCGAUGCCUGAGAUUAAGCUUAUAAUGCGCAGGAUUGUUCAAGCAGGGUUCGGUACGCAAAGUAUUGAUGCUCACUGAUGUGCCACAUAUUAUAGACAUAGUCGCGUAGUCACACUAGUGCAGGAUAGAUCUCUCACAGUAGAUAGUAAUGUUUUAUAUCUGGCAAUUAUUACGUAAUUAAUGUUCGUAUGUCUUUAAAUAGAUAACUGCGCGCUUACUCUGUAACUUACAAUGCCGACAGCAAUCUCGAUUUCCA